rnacentral:misc_RNA from 1 species
UGAGAACACCUACUUGAAGUCCCUGGUUGAGUUGUACAGCUACCUUGCUCGUCGUACUGACGCUGAGUUCAACAAGAAGGUUAGAAGAGCUCUGAACUUC